AGGGGCUCUCAUUAGCUGCUCUCCCCAGAGAGCUAAAGGAGGGAAGCUGCUUAGAUGCUCUGUCCCUCUCUGCUCAGGAUAUUGGGGUUCAGCUUCCUGAGUCAGAUGCUGUAGCCUCCAUUGUGAUCUGGGAGACCAGGCUUGGCAGCUGCUGCUCCCUAGUGGGGUUCUGUGCUGGGAAGUGACCUUAGUUAAAGCUUCUUUUCUGCCCAGCCCAGGUGAUGACUUUCUCCAACUCGUACUAGCCCCUUGUGGGAGACCUGGGCCCUGUUAAUACCAAUUCUACCACAGACUCCAGGUAACUGAAAGACCUCAGGGAAAGUGCUGGGGUCUGGCAAGAAAGUGACUCUGCACAAACAGCCCUUCCUCGUUUCUCCUCCCAUUAGCGGUUGCCAGGAGAAAAUCCAGCCAUGGGAGAGCAAAACCCCCAGGAAUGGGACUUUCCCAGCCAGAGGGGCAGGGAGAGAGGACAGGGGAAGGAGAGACUGAAAGGGGCAGUGGGAGAAAUGAGUGGGGGGAGAGAUUUCCAGCUCUCUAGUCCAGCCAGACACAUGUAUUGCUGCAUCCCUGUGCAGAACCACUUUCCAGUGAACAAAACAAGGAUCAGAGACAGGAAAAGCCAGUUCCUGACUCCAUAUUCCCCUGCUGGGGUGUGGCUGCCAUGGGGUCAGUGUCCGAGGGAAUCCCUCACAGUGACUCCUUUGGUUCUGCUUUUUUCUAGCCUUGUGUUCAGAGACUUUGUUAUGAGGUGAGGGGAGGGAGAAGGGAGGUUAAAAAUCUCUCUGUGGGCUUAGCCUGGCAGCAGGGGCCAGGUCUACAGUGUAAUAACAUGCUUGAUCUCUUUCUCAGCAUGGCAGAAUCUGGGGUGUCUGUCUGCAGGGAAAGGGCCUGGGAGAAUCAUCUGGUGAAAUUAACUAAAGCCUGUUCUGAAACCCCCACAACUGCCCUUCUCACCCAGACAGGUUGUAGAAUGACGUCCUUUUUUUGCUCCAGCUCAUUCCAUCCUCCCAAGGGAGAGGGAAGAGAAAUGGGUGCAGGGGAGCCUGUUAAGGGGCCGGUGACCUUCGAGGAGGUGGCUGUGUAUUUCACCAGGGAAGAGUGGGCUCUGCUGGACCCCCCUCAGAGAGCCCUCUACAGAGAUGUCAUGCAGGAGAACUAUGAGAAUGUGACCUCAUUGGAUUGAGUGGAUGUUUGCAGAGAACUAUCCACAGUGACUCCAAGGUCUCUCUCUUGAGUGGAAACAGCUAAU